CCCGUGAAGAACUUGGUGUAUGGUCUCACUUUCUCCUUUAGAAUUUAAUUAUUUUGCUAUUCACCUCCCAAUAUGCUCUUGAUGAAGAAAUAAAUUUAUAUGAAUAUGUAUGUUAUUUGAGUGUUUUGGAUUUAUUGUGUGUGUGGUUUUUCAUGACCUUUUUCUUUGUAGUGUAGGAUUUAGGGAAGAUGAAUUGGAAUGAAGAGAUAUGGGUGGUUUUGAGAAGAGGUGAAGAAUUGAGAAUCUCGCCUCUCCUGGAGUACCCUCUUUUGUAUAUAUUUUUUGGCAGUGAUAAGAAAGGGAAAAUAGAGUGUACGCGUUAAGCCAAAAAUG
rnacentral:lncRNA from 1 species